UUGUUUUGCAGAUGUCUUAAAUUCUCAUUCCAUGUCAAAGAAUCACAGACAGCCUAUAAAGGUGAACCCACUGGGGCUGGCUGGGGGAAAGGAGGAAGCUUGCUCCUCAGAAGAGU
rnacentral:snoRNA from 1 species